rnacentral:rRNA from 1 species
UACGUAGGGGGCAAGCGUUGUCCGGAAUCAUUGGGCGUAAAGCGCGUGUAGGCGGCUCGGUAAGUCCGCUCUGAAAGUCCAGGGCUCAACCCUGGGAUGCGGGUGGAUACUGUCGGGCUCGAGUCCGGAAGAGGCGAGUGGAAUUCCUGGUGUAGCGGUGAAAUGCGCAGAUAUCAGGAAGAACACCCGUGGCGAAGGCGGCUCUCUGGGACGGUACUGACGCUGAGGCACGAAGGUCAGGGGAGCAAACGGG